UAGUGUUACAGCUCUUUUAGAAUUUUUCUAGCAGGAAAAAAAAAAAAGCUUUCUAGCAGGUUUUCUGGCACCUAA